rnacentral:rRNA from 1 species
GACGAACCUUGCAAACGUUAUUCGGAAUCACUGGGCUUAAAGGGUGCGUAGGUGGUGCAGCAAGUCGGGUGUGAAAUCCCCCAGCUCAACUGGGGAACUGCGCCCGAAACUGCUGUGCUAGAGGAAGAUAGAGGUACGCGGAACUUAGGGUGGAGCGGUGAAAUGCGUUGAUAUCCUAAGGAACACCGGUGGCGAAAGCGGCGUACUGGGUCUUCUCUGACACUGAGGCACGAAAGCUAGGGUAGCGAACGGG